AUUUUCCAGGGUGGAAAUAGCAGAUGAUCAUGACCCCUAGAAAAAGCUGCAUUAAACGACAGUCCAAGCAAUGAAGUAGAAACUAAACGGGAACACAGAUAUUUGCAUAUAAAAACAAAUCAUCAAACCUGGUGAAAAAGAGGAAGGGA
rnacentral:lncRNA from 1 species